AUAAGUUAUGUAAGGGCGUAUGGGGGAUGCCUAGGCUCUCAGAGGCGAAGAAGGACGUGAUAAGCUGCGAAAAGUUGCGGGGAUUGGCACAUACGAGUUGAUCCGCAAAUAUCCGAAUGGGGCAACCCAGUAUAUUGAAGAUAUACUACAUCGCAAGAUGAGCAAACCCGCUGAACUGAAACAUCUAAGUAGGCGGAGGAGAAGAAAACAAAAGUGAUUCCCAGAGUAGUGGCGAGCGAAAUGGGAGGAGCCCAAACCAAUAAUGUUUCGGCAUUAUUGGGGUUGUAGGACUGCGAUAUUUGCUGUUUAUUGAAUUAGAAUACUUUGGAAAGAGUAACCACAGAGGGUGAUAGUCCCGUAUAGGCAAGAUAAAUAAGUAAUAGCAGUAUCCUGAGUAGGGCGGGGCACGUGGAACCCUGUCUGAAACUGCCGGGACCAUCCGGUAAGGCUAAAUACUCCUGAGAGACCGAUAGUGGACUAGUACCGUGAGGGAAAGGUGAAAAGCACCGUGAAUAACGGAGUGAAAAAGACCCUGAAACCAUACGCUUACAAGCGGUCGGAGCGGCUUUUAGCCGUAACGGCGUGCCUUUUGCAUAAUGAGCCUACGAGUUACUGUUACCAGCGAGGAUAAGUAUUUCAGAUACGAAUCCGCAUCGAAAGAGAGUCUGAAAAGGGCGCAAAUAGUUGGUAGUAGUAGACGCGAAACCUGGUGAUCUACCCUUGGGCAGGUUGAAGCGCUGGUAACACAGCGUGGAGGACCGAACUGGUUGUCGUUGAAAAGACUUCGGAUGACCUGAGGGUAGGGGUGAAAGGCCAAUCAAACUGGGAAAUAGCUCGUACUCCCCGAAAUGCAUUUAGGUGCAGCGUUGAUGCGAGUUUAAUAGAGGUAGAGCUACUGAUUGGAUGCGGGGGUUUCAUCGCCUACCAAUUCCUGACAAACUCCGAAUGCUAUUAAAUGUUUCACAGCAGUGAGGGCUUGGGUGCUAAGGUCCAAGUCCGAGAGGGAAAGAACCCGGACCAUCAGCUAAGGUCCCCAAAUAUAUGCUAAGUUGACCAAACGCGGUCUGACUGCACUGACAGCUAGGAUGUUGGCUUGGAAGCAGCCAUACAUUUAAAGAGUGCGUAACAGCUCACUAGUCGAGCGGUUGGGCAUGGAUAAUAAACGGGCAUAAGCAUAUUACCGAAGCUAUGGGGUUAUUACUUAAGUAAUAUACCGGUAGGGGAGCAUUCUAUUGGCGUUGAAGCUAAAGGCGUGAGCCAUAGUGGAGCCUGAUAGAAAAGAAAAUGUAGGCAUAAGUAACGAUAAGGCAGGCGAGAAACCUGCCCGCCGAAAGAUCAAGGUUUCCUCAGCUAUGCUAAUCAGCUGAGGGUUAGUCGGGGACUAACGCGCACCCGAGCAGGGGAAGUGGAUGUACAACAGGUUAAUAUUCCUGUACCAUUAAUCUGAUAAAAGUGACGGAACGAGAUAACUACCGCGUACUGACGGAAUAGUACGUUAAAGGAGCAGUUAUAGCUUUGAUAGUACACUGAAGCUUCGGCUGAGGUGAUAGAGUGGUGACAACGUUUCCAAGAAAAGCGAAGAUUAAUGCCCGUACCGUAAACCGACACAGGUGAUUGGGAAGAGAAUUCUAAGGCGCUCGAGAGAUUCAUGGCUAAGGAACUAGGCAAAAUAGACCUGUAACUUCGGGAGAAAGGUCGCCUAUCUAGCGAUAGGCCGCAGUGAAAAGGUCCAAGCGACUGUUUAUCAAAAACACAGGACUCUGCAAAAUCGAAAGAUGAGGUAUAGGGUCUGACACCUGCCCGGUGCUGGAAGGUUAAGAGGAGGGCUUAGCGUAAGCGAAGGUCUGAAUUGAAGCCCCAGUAAACGGCGGCCGUAACUAUAACGGUCCUAAGGUAGCGAAAUUCCUUGUCGGGUAAGUUCCGACCUGCACGAAUGGUGUAACGAUUUGGACACUGUCUCGGCCAUGAGCUCGGUGAAAUUGUAGUAUCGGUGAAGAUGCCGAUUACCCGCAGUGGGACGAAAAGACCCUGUGCACCUUUACUAUAUCUUCGUAUUGGUCUUGGAUAAGUGAUGCGUAGGAUAGGUGGGAGACUUUGAAGCGGCUAUUCUGGUAGUUGUGGAGUCGUUGUUGAAAUACCACCCUUUGCUUAUCUGAGGUCUAACUUUGCUAAAGGCAAAGGACAAUUCGUGGAGGGUAGUUUGACUGGGGUGGUCGCCUCCAAAAG
rnacentral:rRNA from 1 species